AUGCACGCUGGCGGCGUGCCUAAUACAUGCAAGUCGAGCGAACAGACGAGGAGCUUGCUCCUUCGACGUUAGCGGCGGACGGGUGAGUAACACGUAGGUAACCUACCUAUAAGACUGGGAUAACUUCGGGAAACCGGAGCUAAUACCGGAUAAUAUUUCGAACCGCAUGGUUCGAUAGUGAAAGAUGGCUUUGCUAUCACUUAUAGAUGGACCUGCGCCGUAUUAGCUAGUUGGUAAGGUAACGGCUUACCAAGGCAACGAUACGUAGCCGACCUGAGAGGGUGAUCGGCCACACUGGAACUGAGACACGGUCCAGACUCCUACGGGAGGCAGCAGUAGGGAAUCUUCCGCAAUGGGCGAAAGCCUGACGGAGCAACGCCGCGUGAGUGAUGAAGGUCUUCGGAUCGUAAAACUCUGUUAUUAGGGAAGAACAAACGUGUAAGUAACUGUGCACGCCUUGACGGUACCUAAUCAGAAAGCCACGGCUAACUACGUG
rnacentral:rRNA from 1 species